UACUUCUACAACAGGAGAAAAGGCUAGCAACCCCAAACAAGAAUGGGAGAUGCUGUCAGGACACACAGCCUGUAUCUGCUUAAGACACUGCACUUUGUGCUUGUGCUUACAAACACCACACUUU